CGCGAUUUACAUGAUCACGACAGCUUCUCGCGUCAUCUGAUUGGUUGAUUUGAGUCAGGUUCACGGGAUACUUUGGAUUCGAAAACUAUAUUCCCGCCCAGGAUUCUUCUCGUCUCUUCUUCAACGGCUGUUUUUAGAAGUCCUCCAAUCCACCAUCAGCGAGACCGAACUCCUCCAGUCCAGCUACAGAUAAGCUGCUGACCCAUUUCAGAGGAGGAACAUUGGCCAUGACCCAAAAGGACCACUAAAUCCUCAACUUUUUCUUGACACUUCUGCGGUGAGAAAAAUUCCCUAACAAAAAAAAACGGUCAUAUCCAGAGAUGGCUUCAGCUUGCUCCGGAUUGGGAUGGAGGAAGAAGAGAACGGCUGAAGAGAAAGGAGAUGAUAAAUAGCUGUGCCUCUCAUUUAGAGCCAUAAUAGCUUAUGCGUGCGAACACAUACAAAAUACAUUCAUUUCCUUUUCAUGUGCACACACGCAGUUAUGUGUUAUGUUGUUUAUAAAGUUUAAUUUUGUCUUUCUUUGGUUUAUAACGUUUUCAUUUAGUCCGUAUUCGGUUUCAUUUUUUCAAGUGUUAAGGUACUGUUCAUUUAAAGUCUAAAGGUUUCCGUUUUACAUAAAAAUAUGUUCAACACAAUGUGUUCACUUUAUUUUUAUUUGUAAAUAAAAAAUGUUUAUUGAAAAACAAUUCAGGUAUUGGAAGUUAUUUUUUCACAUGAUUUUGGCAAUCAUAGGCUGUACUAUGG